rnacentral:rRNA from 1 species
UACCAGCACCCCGAGUGGUCGGGACGAUUAUUGGGCCUAAAGCAUCCGUAGCCGGUUCUACAAGUCUUCCGUUAAAUCCACCUGCUUAACAGAUGGGCUGCGGAGGAUACUAUAGAGCUAGGAGGCGGGAGAGGCAAGCGGUACUUAGUGGGUAGGGGUAAAAUCCGCUGAUCCAUAGAAGACCACCAGUGGCGAAGGCGGCUUGCCAGAACGCGCUCGACGGUGAGGGAUGAAAGCUGGGGGAGCAAACAGG